CUGAAGAACAGCGGCAACUCUUCUUCUUCUUCAGCCUAGUUUGAUUUGUUCUUUUUUUCACCAUCUCUAUCAGCCUAGUUCGAUUUGUUCUUCUUCUUCACCAACUCAUCAUCUCCAUCUCUUUCAACAUCUGAGUUCUAUAUAUUUUUGAAGAAUCAUCAACUUCAGUAGAGAAGGGAAGAAAGAAGAGGAUUAGAGCGAUGUGAACUGUGAAGGUGUUGUAAAUAGUCAUGUCUCAUGCUCCAACAAGUACAACAGGAGCGGUUGAAGUUGGUGAUAGCGAAAACAAGCACGACAAAGUGAGAUCUGAUGUUUGGCUGGAAAUGACGAGGAUUAGUGAAACUCAUGAUCAAUGUCGUCACUGCAAGGGUAAAUAUCCUGCUCAGAAUGAUGUAAAUGGCACUACUGGAUUAUGAAAGCAUUUGAAUAGAUGUCCAAAAAAUCCUAACAAGAAGAAAGAUUAGUGAAACUUUUUAAGUAUUUUGUAAUGUUGAAGUUGAAAUGUUGAACUUAACUACCUAAGUAUGUAUAUUACAAAUUGAACUUAUUUUGUAA